ACUUACAAAAUUAUAAGUAUUUCUAUUCAUAGAUCAGAAACAAGAAAAAUAUGACAUUUGGGUUUGAAUAGGAAGGUUGGGGGAUGUUGUCAUGGGAGAGAGGAGAAAGAGAGUAGAGGAGGAUGGUGCAUUUGAGGAAAAAUGGAAAGAGAGCAUGGCGUCGGUGCAAGGAGAGAAGCAAAGAAGGAGAGGAGGGAUUUAUGCACAAUCACCAUCAGAAGAUAAUUAGAAAGAGGC
rnacentral:lncRNA from 1 species